rnacentral:ncRNA from 1 species
AUAGUGUGCUAGGGGUGCCAAUUGGCUGAGAGAUGGAUUAUCCAUUAACCCUCAAAGUAUUGAAAAAAUAAAUAGUUAAUAAUUUAUUUUGAAAUACUAUAACCUGAUCUGGCUAGUACCAGCGUAGGGAAGCGUUAUUCAAAUAUU